rnacentral:rRNA from 1 species
CUAUUGCGUGAAUCAGGACAUUUUAAUCCAACAUCGAGGUCACAAGCUCGUUUUGUCGAUACGUACUCGCUAAAACAGAAUAACGCUGUUAUCCCUGAAGUAACUUAUUCUUCUUUANAAAGUUUCUGAUAUCUANAGAAUAAUGUCCACAUAGUAAAAAUAAGAUUAUUUUANCAACGGCCCCANUAAAUANCCCUCGNCUUGUUUAAAAAAAAAUGAGAUAUAAAGUUUUAUAGGGUCUUCUUGUCUUUAAUAAUCAUUUUAGCCUUCUUACUAAAAAGUCAACUUCAUCACNAUNNAUCANUAUAANACACUANCACUUAAUCCGACCNUUCAUNCUAN